AUGAACGCUGGCGGCGUGCUUAACACAUGCAAGUCGAACGAAGCACCUUGAUUUGAUUCUUCGGAUGAAGAUCUUGGUGACUGAGUGGCGGACGGGUGAGUAACGCGUGGGUAACCUGCCUCAUACAGGGGGAUAACAGUUAGAAAUGACUGCUAAUACCGCAUAAGACCACAGCACCGCAUGGUGCAGGGGUAAAAACUCCGGUGGUAUGAGAUGGACCCGCGUCUGAUUAGGUAGUUGGUGGGGUAACGGCCUACCAAGCCGACGAUCAGUAGCCGACCUGAGAGGGUGACCGGCCACAUUGGGACUGAGACACGGCCCAAACUCCUACGGGAGGCAGCAGUGGGGAAUAUUGCACAAUGGGGGAAACCCUGAUGCAGCGACGCCGCGUGAGCGAUGAAGUAUUUCGGUAUGUAAAGCUCUAUCAGCAGGGAAGAAAAUGACGGUACCUGACUAAGAAGCACCGGCUAAAUACGUG
rnacentral:rRNA from 1 species